rnacentral:rRNA from 1 species
GAUGAACGCUGGCGGCGUGCCUAAUACAUGCAAGUCGAGCGAACGGACGGGAAGCUUGCUUCUCUGAUGUUAGCGGCGGACGGGUGAGUAACACGUGGAUAACCUACCUAUAAGACUGGGAUAACUUCGGGAAACCGGAGCUAAUACCGGAUAAUAUUUUGAACCGCAUGGUUCAAAAGUGAAAGACGGUCUUGCUGUCACUUAUAGAUGGAUCCGCGCUGCAUUAGCUAGUUGGUAAGGUAACGGCUUACCAAGGCAACGAUGCAUAGCCGACCUGAGAGGGUGAUCGACCACACUGGAACUGAGACACGGUCCAGACUCCUACGGGAGGCAGCAGUAGGGAAUCUUCCGCAAUGGGCGAAAGCCUGACGGAGCAACGCCGCGUGAGUGAUGAAGGUCUUCGGAUCGUAAAACUCUGUUAUUAGGGAAGAACAUAUGUGUAAGUAACUGUGCACAUCUUGACGGUACCUAAUCAGAAAGCCACGGCUAACUACGUG